rnacentral:rRNA from 1 species
UACGUAGGGGGCUAGCGUUGUCCGGAUUUAUUGGGCGUAAAGAGCUCGUAGGCGGCUUGUCGCGUCGUUCGUGAAAACCCGGGGCUCAACUCCGGGCUUGGCGGGCGAUACGGGCAGGCUAGAGUUCGGGUAGGGGAGACUGGAAUUCCGUGGUGUAGCGGUGAAAUGCGCAGAUAAUCAGGAAGAACACCCGUGGCGAAGGCGGCUCUCUGGUACGUGACUGACGCUGAGACGCGAAAGCGUGGGGAGCGAACAGG